AGCCGCUCGGGUUGCCAAAAGAACAGUUAGCCAGCAAUUCUCCGGAGAAUCGAAUGGAAACGAUUCUUCUGGGAAACGAACUCGUGACCGCCCACGUGUCCUACGUUCUACUCUAACUUAUAAGAACUCUAUCACCAUUUGCGUGUUUUUUCUGUGCGCCAAAGAGCCAAACGUUUUGAGUUUCAGAGAAAAUUAGAUGUUCGCAAAAAAUUAACUUAAACAUUUUCCGACAGUGUACUUGAGUGCUUGUGUUUGUGCCACCGAGUGUCUGUGUGAUUGCCAAUGUUUUUUUGUGGCCUUCAGCUUCAAUUUCUUGAGGGAAAAUCACAACGACUUCUGGGGACCCCCAAAAAGGCAGACGUCAGUCGUAACCGUACUCUUUGCUAGAGCGGCCAAACCCCGGAGAGCCAAAGAUCCGAAGACCCCAAAGAAUUGGAAGAGGAACUCGGUGGAACCACAAAGGCAACAUGUUGCACAUGCACUCGGCAAAAGCAAUUUGCAUACAAAUGUUGCCAACGCACUUCAAAAACUGCACAAUCACAGGGGUUUUUUUUGGUGGGGGGUUGGUGCAGCGGAAAAGGGUAAAAGCCGCUUCAUAAUUUGAUAUUAAACAUGCACGCGUGUCUCCUUCUCUUUUUCUCCCAUGUGUGCAACUUGUAAAUUUGCAAAUUGCUAAAACGCAUGACAGGAACAAAGGGCGAGGAUCUUAAUGGUGGGGAAACUGGGGGCAGACUAUCGGGCAGCUGUGUGAAUUUGCAUUUACAUCAAGGAACCGCAGGACAGGAAAAGAACUGCAAAAACUUACCCAAAAUUCAGUCUCACAAGAAAACUGAAUAAAAAAAAGUGCAGUUUGCCCAAUUGACUUUCAAUUGCAAAAUAUACAAAAUGCAUUGGGAAAAAUAGCAGAGUUCAAGGCGAAAAGAACUGCUAUAUUUUAGCCCGUUUCUUUCAGUGUCUCUUUGAAUAAAAAAGGCAAGCCCAAAUGAAUUUAUUUUCAAUUUUAUUUUCAAUCUGCUUUGUGUCCGUCAUAUGAUUGACAUGGUCGAUUGAACUGGCAAACGAGUGAGGGAGUGGAACGAUACACAUAUCGUUUAUUUUUGGCAGCAAGUGUUUGCAUUCGAUUUGCAGUUUUGUUAAUACUGCACUCGAAAAUACCUGACACACCUCCUCAAACUCAACCAAAAAUGCGAGGGCUCUUGAAACCAAAAUCUCCUCCGGAGUCUUAAUAAGCUGGUUGCAAAAAAAGAAGUACACACUUUUUAUAUCAGAUCUGUGCACGCAAUUGAAUGUACCAUACUCUUAUUUCGGGCUGCACAUAUAAAUCAUAUUUAUGAGACAUUUCCCCAGCAGGGAAAAUACGAAAUGGAAAAAAAAAAGAAAAACAUAUGAAUGUUAAAUAGGCACGCAAUGUGCGAAAGGGAUGGCCACAAAAUGCGUCACUCCCCCCAAUUCGCCUGACUUUUCCUUAACGAAGGAAAACAAUAAUCAAUAAGUAAUACAACUGGGAAACUCACCCCCGCCGACUUAGUCGUAUUUCCUCCCUCUCGCUCAUAUGUGUUACAAUUUUUGUUGCCCUCAGCCUGGGUAGUUCAUAACUUUUCUCUCAUGUGUGUGCGUGUGUUUUUGUGUCUGUGGUGGUUUUCCUUGGUUCUUGGCCAGGACUUCAGGCGUUUGACAGCCAUGUUUGUCCUUCACACACACACACACACACCCACACAUGAUUGUAGGCGUCUCCUUGUGGCGGCACCCCCAAAAAAAGCAGGAAAAAAGAAAAAGUGUGGCGGAAAAGUGUGCCACAAACUUUUCGCCCGAAAAAAGUUUGUCUGCUGGCACAGAUCUAUGUGUAAAUGAGCGAGAUAACAAACAUUCGCAAAUUUUCCAGACAAUACCUCUUUUUUGCACUCUAAUCGUACACAUAAAAAAAUUUAAUCUUUUUUAUACAUUCUUAAUUAAAGCUUUUAUAUAUUAAUAUCAAAUUAAUAUUUAUAUAUAAACGUUAUUUUAAAAUGCGUUCUCCUUAUAAAGAUUGAUGGCUUAAAACGUGCUUUUUUAAAAUGCAAUAAAUAAAUCACUUCCAAAAUUUUCCUCUGAGUGUAAUCAACCUUUUUUUUGGCUUGUUAAAGAGUUGCCGAAAAACAAAUUGGAAAAAUUUGGUUAGACUUUGGGUUCGUUUCAGUUUUGGGCCCAGCUGAUUUAUUGUCAUAAAUUUCAUUGAAAUUCAUGAGGCUCUUGGAAGAACCUCAAUAAUGUAAAAAACGGGGCGUGGCCUAAAUGAUGUCCGCAUAUGUGUGUGUGUGUGUUGCUGCGCCUACGCAACGGCCCAAAAGAUUUAUUUCAAUGGAACGAAGAAAUUAUAAUAUUUUCUAACUUCUAUCAUUGAAAAAGAACUAUAAAAGAAAUACAUACUAUUCUGUGGGGCGAUUAUGAAAAGAGCUGUUGAUGUAUGAAUUGUAUGGGCCUCUCAUAAAUCUAGAGACCCUGUCAAGGUGUCCAAUACGUUUUUCUGGCCUGUCCGUGUGUUUGUGCCUCAAGUGGCAGUCAUAAAUUUGAGAUUUAUGUUCAUCUCUCUUUUCGAUUUUGUUGUUUUUUUGGUAUAUUUUUUUUUUUUUGUGUCCAUUUACCAUUUUUUUGGUUUUGGUCAAUAGAACCUGCCACAAAGCACAGUUCUUUACUCGCUUGUUAAUUAAAUGCGAUUGCAUCAUCGCAUCUUUCAGCUGUCCAUCUACUGUGCACAAUGGGGGUUAAGCAAAUAAGUACACCUAUGUGCUAAAUAUAGAUUAAUUCGAAUUUUUAUAUUACACUAGUUUUUAUAGUUUGCUCUUUUUUGUAAUUAUGUUAAAAGCGGAUUUUGUUAGUUUGUUUUUUCUCUGGAGUUAAUGUUACUAAUUUGUUGACCCUUGCUGUAGAUAUCUCUAUUCCAUUUUAUCAAGCUAUGACUGGACAGAAAUUGUCGCUAAUCGCUGCUCAUGUACCCCAAGACAUGCCGCAUUUGUCUUUGUCUUUAAUUUUUCGGCUUUGCCUGCUCUGACACAUUUUUCUUAUGAAUUUUCAGUAUUUUCCCCCGACUCACUAAUUUUUCGUGGCGUGUUUGUUCUGACCGCCAAAAUUGCUUGUCCAACAUUUGUUGAACAUGUUUUUGUACUUUGUUUCGGUUAUUUUUUAACAUUUUUUUUUGGGCGAACCAACAACGAACUACACGCAAGUGCUGAAGAUUUUUAGGCAGAUCCGUUAAACAUCAAAAUCAACUUUUUCAAGCUCAUUAAACAAUCAGGGAAAAAAAGUAAAAUAAAGCCAAACGUUGACCUUCAAAAACGCAACGCAACCAAGCGAAAAUGGCAACAAAAAAAAAAGAUUAAAUACAUAAUACGAAAAAUAACAAAAGUCAGAGCCGCUUGGAAACAGGUUGUUGUUUCGUUCUCUCUAUUGUUAACAUUUUAUUAUGCUUUUUUCAAGCGGAAAGCAACAAAAGGCCCGAAAACUUUUGCACUUUUGCGAUUAUUUACGAUCGAAAUACAUUUCUCUGCCGAUUUUUGACCUUGCAGUUGUUGCACUUAACACGUGCCAGAAAUUGAUAAUGAAAGAACGCGUUUUCAGGUGUUAAUCACACUUCGAGCUAUAAAAAAAACAUGCGAAAAAAGCAUAAAAAAAAGCCCGCUAAAAAAGUAAGGCCCGCAAAAGGCGCCAAAAAUAUUUCGACGACGAACGACACAGACUAAAUUUACAAUCAGAAGUGUCGAUAUUCGUAAAACUACUCGUCAAAUACUCUUUUGGUAAAAUCUUAAGAUUUGGUCAAAUUUUUAAAACUUUUUAUCGGAUAUUUUACAAAACGUGCAAAAAUCUUAUUGUACAUUAUGUACAUGAGUAUAUACAUAGGUAUUUAUUGAUAACUUAACCUUAUACUUAUGUACAUACAUAUAAUCGCAAAUUCACCAAAGUAUCUUCACCAUACCCUAUAAUACUCUACAUGUGAAAUAUUCUAAUCAUAAAUGGAAGUUUGCUGCGAUGACGAAGAGUUUGCCUAUUGUAGAUUUUUAUUUGCCCAUGGCUUUUGUUGCUUUUCUUGUGGGCACUUCAAAAGUCGUGUGCGCUUUGUUGUUGUGUUUGUGGUGUUUGGUUGUUGUAUAUCGCUUGUUUACUUUUACGGUAAAUGCGAAAAGCAACAACACUAAGGACUACAAAAAAGCGCGCGCUCGUCGCGCGUAUCUGGAUGAAUAUCUGUGAAAAUACACUUGAGGCCAAGCUACCGCACAGUGGGCGCCAUACAAAUACGGCACUAUAGAGAAAUUUUAGUGGAAUUAAAAAAUUAAAAACAUUCCAUUAAAGGAAAGAAAAUUACACAUAUUCUACUGAUAAUUUGCUGUAACUAAACGAUUGCUUGCUGUUAGUCUAGUUAGUUACUUAAAACUGUUAAAAAAGUUCAAUAAUUGCUCUAAAUCGAAUUUGUUACUUUAAGAUACUUUUAUAAAACAAAUUUUAUUUUUUAUAUAACUCCCAAUAUCGUGCCCUCACCUGUUCCUGUUUUUGUUGCUGCCUUUUCCAGCGGAGGCAACGACCAACAAUAACAACAAGCAACAGCAACAAUAACAACCAGCGCAGAAGACGCAACGCAAAAAAUCGUAAACAGAUCAUCGAACUUCGCUGUUGUGUUGUUGCUCCUGUUGUUGUUGCUGUUUGUUGGCCUUGAGGUGCCUCAAAAAUUAUAGAUUUUUUUUCCGGUGCAAGCCUUUUUUUGCGGCUUAAAACCAUUUUAUUGUUUCAUUAAUUGAAAGUCGCUUUUUUAUAUAUAUAUUUUUUAAUUUUACUGCCGUUUUGGUGAUAUUAAUAGAGUUGACAAAGCGUUCGGCGCCCACGCAGCAAGCAGCGACGCUGACGUCGGCAGAGCUGCUUUCACCGCUGCUUGCGUCAUGUUGAGCGACAAAGCUGCAACGGCGACAAAGCAGCAACCAAUAUGCAGUCGCUGGCUUUGCAUGUGAGGGUGUGUGCAGUACAGCCGCUAUAAGUGUGCAAUUCACCACCUGAGAAAACCACCAUCGCCGCCGAAGCAAAGAAACCCACCACGGCAGCGACAUCGAACAUCGACGAACAUCGUCGAACCUCGCAUUUCGAGUUAUUUUCUGCGAGACUUCGCUGCGUUUUUUUCAGUUGAGUUCCGGAGCUCCAAAGCCGCGCAUCAAUCGCUCGCAUAUAGCAUCGUGUUUUCGCAUUCGCGUGACUUGACAAAAAUUCGUAAAAAUUGAGAAACAAUUUACAAGUGAUGAACAAAAAUAAACUUAAACUUUUAAGUUUAUUAAAACAAUCAAAUAAUACACAG